GAUGAACGCUGGCGGCGUGCCUAAUACAUGCAAGUCGAGCGAACGGACGAGAAGCUUGCUUCUCUGAUGUUAGCGGCGGACGGGUGAGUAACACGUGGAUAACCUACCUAUAAGACUGGGAUAACUUCGGGAAACCGGAGCUAAUACCGGAUAAUAUUUUGAACCGCAUGGUUCAAAAGUGAAAGACGGUCUUGCUGUCACUUAUAGAUGGAUCCGCGCUGCAUUAGCUAGUUGGUAAGGUAACGGCUUACCAAGGCAACGAUGCAUAGCCGACCUGAGAGGGUGGUCGGCCACACUGGAACUGAGACACGGUCCAGACUCCUACGGGAGGCAGCAGUAGGGAAUCUUACGCAAUGGGCGAAAGCCUGACGGAGCAACGCCGCGUGAGUGAUGAAGGUCUUCGGAUCGUAAAGCUCUGUUAUUAGGGAAGAACAUAUGUGUAAGUAACUGUGCACAUCUUGACGGUACCUAAUCAGAAAGCCACGGCUAACUACGUG
rnacentral:rRNA from 1 species